rnacentral:rRNA from 1 species
UCCUACGGGAGGCAGCAGCUAAGAAUCUUCCGCAAUGGGGGGAACCCUGACGGAGCGACGCCGCGUGGACGAAGAAUGCCGGAAGGUUGUAAAGUCCUUUUCCUGGGGGAGAAUAAUGCGAGGAGGUAAUGCCUUGCAGAUGACGUGAACCAGGGAAUAAGCCCCGGCUAAUUACGUGCCAGCAGCCGCGGUAACACGUAAGGGGCAAGCGUUGUUCGGAUUUAUUGGGCGUAAAGGGCGUGUAGGCGGUAAUGUAAGUCUGGUGUUAAAUACCUCGGCUCAACCGAGGGGGUGCGCUGGAAACUGUGUUACUAGAGUGAUGGAGGGGGAGCUGGAAUUCCUGGUGUAGGGGUGAAAUCUGUAGAGAUCAGGAAGAACACCGGAGGCGAAGGCGAGCUCCUGGCCAUUAACUGACGCUGAGGCGCGAAAGCGUGGGGAGCGAACAGGAUUAGAUACCCUGGUAGUCCACGCUGUAAACGAUGUGCACUGGGUGUUGGUCCGUUGAGGAUCAGUGCCGUAGCUAACGCGUUAAGUGCACCGCCUGGGGAGUAUGCUCGCAAGGGUGAAACUCAAAUGAAUUGACGG